UACGUAGGUGGCAAGCGUUAUCCGGAAUUAUUGGGCGUAAAGAGCGCGCAGGUGGUUGAUUAAGUCUGAUGUGAAAGCCCACGGCUUAACCGUGGAGGGUCAUUGGAAACUGGUCGACUUGAGUGCAGAAGAGGGAAGUGGAAUUCCAUGUGUAGCGGUGAAAUGCGUAGAGAUAUGGAGGAACACCAGUGGCGAAGGCGGCUUCCUGGUCUGUAACUGACACUGAGGCACGAAAGCGUGGGGAGCAAACAGGAUUAGA
rnacentral:rRNA from 1 species